CUGGGAGUGCUGGUGCUGGUUUUUAGGCGGAGCUCUUUAGGGAACUGGUAGUGCUGGUGCUGUUUUUUAGGCGGAGUUCUUUAGGGAACUAGGAGUGCUGUUUUUUAGGCGGAGUUCUUUAGGGAACUGGGAGUGCUGGUUUUUAGGUGGAGUUCUUUAGGGAACUGGGAGUGCUGGUUUUUAGGUGGAGCUCUUUAGGGAACUGGGAGUGCUGGUUUUUAGAUAGAGUUCUUUAGGGAACUGGGAGUGCUGGUUUUUAGAUGGAGUUCUUUAGGGAACUGGGAGUGCUGGUUUUUAGGUGGAGCUCUUUAUGGAAAUGGGAGUGCUGGUUUUUAGGUGGAGUUCUUUAGGGAACUGGGAGUGCUGUUUUUUAGGUGGAGCUCUUUAGGGAACUGGGAGUGCUGGUUUUUAGGUGGAGUUCUUUAGGGAACUGGGAGUGCUGUUUUUUAGGUGGAUUUCUUUAGGGAACUCGGAGUUCUGGUUUUUAGAUGGAGUUCUUUAGGGAACUGGGAGUGCUGGUUUUUAGGUGGAGCUCUUUAUG